UACGUAGGGCGCAAGCGUUGUCCGGAAUUAUUGGGCGUAAAGAGCUCGUAGGCGGCUUGUCACGUCGAUUGUGAAAGCCCGAGGCUUAACCUCGGGUCUGCAGUCGAUACGGGCUAGCUAGAGUGUGGUAGGGGAGAUUGGAAUUCCUGGUGUAGCGGUGGAAUGCGCAGAUAUCAGGAGGAACACCGAUGGCGAAGGCAGAUCUCUGGGCCGUAACUGACGCUGAGGAGCGAAAGCAUGGGGAGCGAACAGG
rnacentral:rRNA from 1 species